UUUAUAAAUUUGAAUUUAAGUUUAAUUUAAAAUCUAAAAUUUUAUUCAAAUUUUAUUUAAAAUUUAAAUUAAAUUUACGGAUUCAAUUGAAAUUUAAAUUAUGAUUUUAAGUUUGAAUUUGAUUACUUUUAUAUUUUGAAUUAUCAAUUCAAUUUCAAAGUUUAUUUUUUUAAAAAUAUAUAUUUAAAAUUUGAUAUUAUUUUAAAAUUUUGACGUAAAUUUUUAAUAUUUAAUUUUUAGUUUGAAUUUAAGCUAAUAUAUUAUAAAGAUAAAAUUAGCAUAUUAAUUUGAUUAUAUUUCUGAUAUCUAUCUGAAUCACACACCGACAAUAGAAAUAGUUCAUUCCGAUUUUGAUUCAGGUGGCAACCAAACAAAAUGAGGUAAUGAAUCAUUCCAAUUUCGUUUCCAACUUAUUCUCAUUUCGAGUCUGAUACCGAUUCCGACUUCGAAUCAAACACAUCUUAAGUGGAAGUACAUGAUUAAGUAUGGAGUCAUAAUUCUAUUGUAGG
rnacentral:lncRNA from 1 species